rnacentral:misc_RNA from 1 species
GAUGAAGAAUGUAGCGAAAUGCGAUAAGUAGUGUGAAUUGCAGAAUUCAGUGAAUCAUCGAAUCUUUGAACGCACAUUGCGCCCUUUGGUAUUCCUUAGGGCAUGCCUGUUCGAGCGUCAUUUAAACCUUCAAGCUAAGCUUGGUGUUGGGUGACUGUCCGCUUCACGGCGGACUCGCCUCAAAAUUAUUGGCGGCCGGUACAUUGGCUUCGAGCGCAGCAGAAACGCGAACUCGGGCCCGUCGUAUUGGCUCCCAGAAGCUAUCUUCACAAUUUUGACCUCGGAUCAGGUAGGGAUACCCGCUGAACUUAAGCAUAUCAAUAAGCGGAGGA